rnacentral:rRNA from 1 species
GACAGAGGGUGCAAACGUUGUUCGGAAUUACUGGGCGUAAAGCGAGUGUAGGCGAUUUCCUAAGUCAGGUGUGAAAGCCCCGGGCUCAACCCGGGAAGUGCACUUGAAACUGGGAGGCUAGAGUAUCGGAGAGGUUGGUGGAAUUCUCGGGUGUAGAGGUGAAAUUCGUAGAUAUCGAGAGGAACACCGGUGGCGAAGGCGGCCUGCUGGGCAGUUUUGCUGACACUGAGGCGCGACAGCGUGGGGAGCAACAGG